UUAAGGUCUAACCUGCCCAAUGAGGAAUUGAAUGGCCGCAGUAUUUUAACUGUGCUAAGGUAGCAUAAUCAUUUGUCUUUUAAUUGAGGGCUGGAAUGAAGGGUUGGACGAAGUAUGAACUUUCUUUAAUUUAAUUGAGGGAAUUUAAUUUUUAAGUUAAAAAGCUUAAAUUUAUUUAUUGGACGAGAAGACCCUAUAGAUCUUUAUAAUUUUAUAUUUUGAUAAUGUAGUGAUUUUUUUAUUUGGAGUAGAUUAAUUAUUUUGUUGGGGUGACUGUAGAAUUAAAAUAACUUCUAUACUGUUUAUUUCAUUUAUUAGUGUUUUUAUG
rnacentral:rRNA from 1 species